GCCAGACUCCUACGGGAGGCAGCAGUGGGGGAUAUUGCACAAUGGGGGGAACCCUGAUGCAGCGACGCCGCGUGGGUGAAGGAGUAUUUCGGUAUGUAAAGCCCUAUCGGCAGGGAAGAAGCAAGACGGUACCUGACUAAGAAGCCCCGGCUAACUACGUGCCAGCAGCCGCGGUAAUACGUAGGGGGCGAGCGUUAUCCGGAUUCACUGGGUGUAAAGGGAGCGUAGACGGCCAAGCAAGCCAGGGGUGAAAGCCCGGGGCCCAACCCCGGGACUGCCCUUGGAACUGCUUGGCUGGAGUGCGGGAGGGGCAGGCGGAAUUCCUGGUGUAGCGGUGAAAUGCGUAGAUAUUAGGAGGAACACCAGUGGCGAAGGCGGUCUGCUGGACAGCAACUGACGGUGAGGCGCGAAAGCGUGGGGAGCAAACAGGAUUAGAUACCCUCGUA
rnacentral:rRNA from 1 species